rnacentral:rRNA from 1 species
UGGGGAAUAUUGCACAAUGGGCGCAAGCCUGAUGCAGCCAUGCCGCGUGUGUGAAGAAGGCCUUCGGGUUGUAAAGCACUUUCAGCGAGGAGGAAGGUGGUGAGCUUAAUACGCUCAUCAAUUGACGUUACUCGCAGAAGAAGCACCGGCUAACUCCGUGCCAGCAGCCGCGGUAAUACGGAGGGUGCAAGCGUUAAUCGGAAUUACUGGGCGUAAAGCGCACGCAGGCGGUUUGUUAAGUCAGAUGUGAAAUCCCCGGGCUCAACCUGGGAACUGCAUUUGAAACUGGCAAGCUAGAGUCUCGUAGAGGGGGUAGAAUUCCAGGUGUAGCGGUGAAAUGCGUAGAGAUCUGGAGGAAUACCGGUGGCGAAGGCGGCCCCCUGGACGAAGACUGACCGCUCAGGUGCGAAAGCGUGGGGAGCAAACAGAUUAGAUACCCUGGUAGUCCACGCUGUAAACGAUGUCGAUUUUGGAGGUUGUGCCCUUGAGGCGUGGCUUCC